ensembl:lncRNA
CCGGCCCCGGCACCGCCCGCGCCGCGGGGCGAGGUGAGGUGAGCGCCCGCUCCUGCCAUGGCGGCGCUGCGGGACGUCUUUCGGCGGCCUUUCGGCGGCCCGCUCGCGGUGGGUCAGCAGUGGACAGGACCCAGUGACAGACAUAGAAGAGUUUGGUGCUUCUGACAACAGUGGAGCGUCGCUGAGGAUCCCAGAGCUGUGACUGCAGUUUUCCAAUUCGCAGGCUGUCUUGGCAGUAGAGGAAAUGUGAAGAAGAGCUAUGUGUCAUUUGAAUAGUGCUGUCAUCUUACCAAUUACUACUAUAGCUGCUGUACACAGGUGUUGCAAGGUCAUACCUUCACCCAUCCGAGGCAAAGACAUGAUGUUAUCUGCCUGAAAAUAUCUGUCUGGGCAAUCCUUCAACGAGACUUCUCCCACACAUCAAUCCAACUUUCUUUUUUCUCCUGUAACUUCUUGCUUCUUUCAUGUUGCACAAGAGGUUCCCUAAAACAUUAAUUUUUCCUCCUCCAGAUUCCUACACUUGAAUUGAAUAGAAUUUGGAGUGGUAUGAAGUGCCUCACACAGAGAAGAACCAGCAUUUUGAAGGACCUGCAGGUGCUGCUACCUGAAGGUUAGUUUAACAACUGAAAAUACUCUAUCGUGAAUGGCCUCAAUAUAUCAUUCAGGUGGUAUUCUUAAAAUUAUAUUUUAAUCUCAAUUAAAAUGUGAAUAUCAGUUAUUUAAUGCAACCUAAAGGAAGUUUGUUUUGUUGAAAAAAAAAAAAAAAUGAUGAUCAGCCAUAGUUCUGGCCUGUAAUAAGUUCAAGUGUAUGAUGGCUUCCUGUGCUCAGGCUCACCAGGAAGGGGAAUCAGGACAGCGCACGUUGGCAGGUGGGAGUGUAAAUCCGGGUAGGAGGAGAACUCGUGUCAGGAGUGUGUCAAAUCAAUCUCUUCCAAGCGGGAUCCUCAAAAACCUAAAGGUUCAAAUUUGAAGUGUAUUCCACUCUGUGGAAAAAAAUAAUAAAUGAGAGCAUCAAUAUCUGCACUCUUCAGCUUUAAGCCUCCCAGGGGUACAGGCAAUCAGGCUGAUAAGUUGUAAUUUCACACCCUUUGCACCAGCUGCACUUAACUCAUCUGAUUUUUACCUAUGUCACCAGUAGCACCGCAGGGAAUUAGAAUGAGAGAACUAUUAAAAGCCUAAUGUAUUUUUUUGUAUGUAGGUUGUUUGCAUUUCUAAUGCCUAUUUUGAAGCCUUGUGUGAAGUCGAAAGUGGAGGUGAUAAUUCAUUAGCAAGCAAAAUCUAGAAGUAAGGUAUUAUGAAAAAAAAACCUUUUAUGGAGGGAAGACGGAGAACUUAAUGCUCAAGGUAAACAGUUUCAAUUAGGAAGUUCUUUGAAGUAUGAUGAGAGCAGUCCAAAAAGAAUCAUACAGACUGCCAAAAUAAAGACCGAAAAACAUUGAAAUUUAUGGAGCUUUUAAGGGCCAUUAACUUGAAGGCCGUUGCCUUUCUUUUUUCUUUCCCCCAUUCUAUUUUAAGAAAUGAAAAGGUGUUUAUUUUUCCCUUGGUCAAUUAGUCUGCAAUAGGAGAAAGGUAGAGAGACAUAUUUUGUAGAUGCUCUGAGAAUUUUAGGCAGAGAAAACUCUUCUUCUGACUGAGUUUCUCUCUUAAAAAAAUAAAGUAUAUUAAGAGCUGUAAACAGUCAGGAAUUGUGCUAUACGGAGUAAUUUUAGGUUAGGAAUAUAUGUGUCUAGAAUGUUAGGUAAAACUUUAAUCACUGAAUUUGUGGGGUAACUGUGGAAUACAUUUAUACCUUUUGCUUCUCUGUUAGAAGUUUGGAAGUUAGAUGUCCUGUUGAUGGAAGCUGUUUAGAAGUUAGAUGCCUGAAGCUUGGCAGCACUGCACACAAAACAGGAUGUUGCUGCCCACAGGUCCAGUGUCUCUAUCUUUGAGUGGCAGCAUUUGAUUUUUGCAGGGACAGUAAAGAGCAAGUGUUGCAGGGACUUGGUGUCUGAGCUGGGGGGAUAAUUACAUAUUUCUGCCCCCACCCAUAAUUAUCUCAGGAGGCAUUUCACCUCCAGGGUUUGGAAGACCUUUCUGUGUACUUGCGCUAGCACAGUGUGGAUGGGAAGAGGAAAACAACCAAGGCAGCCUGCACACAGAGCCUGAAUUAUUACCUGCCAGUGGGGCCAGCAGCUCUCACUGCUCUCCCAAGGCUGCAGAGCAGCAGGGAUGCUGCAUGGUGCUGGGUGGGACCACCUCCUGCAGCACGGCUGCUGCCUCACAUGGAGGGGGUAGGGGGGGGCGAAGCAGGACACUGCAAAGAUGGAGGGAGAAAAUGAGCUGUGCUGCUGCUGUGUGUGUGCCUGCCAGCCCUGGCCAUGCCUGCUGUCACACUUGGUUUUCCGUAAAAUUUGAUUGUUUUUGAUCACCGUUAUUGGUGUGAAAUGUUGUACCCUAAUAAGCUACCAGCAAAAUGCCUGUUGUCCUUAGCCCAACUGGAUCUAGCCAUUUAAAAUGCUUUAGAAGUCACAGCAUAAAUAUCAAAUGUUGAUAGACGCAAAGAAAUAAACUCUGGCAAUACCUGUGGUAUGCCUUCAACCAUAGUGGUGAAUAACAUUAAAAUCUCACUGCCCAGCACUCGUACCAAAAAUCAGGAUGCCUGUGUUUGGCUCACUUGUAGGCUGUGGCAACAUCAUAGUGUUCCCUCUUCAUGUGCCUAAUUCUUCACAUAGUUUGAGGACAAUAUGAACCAGAAUACAUGCAGUCCUUCACCUGUCUAUCACUACCUUCUUUCCUGCUCUCGGGAGAUACUGUUGAUCCUUCUUUCUCUUACAGAUUUGUCCAAACUUGUUAGCACUGGCAAAAGUAAUCUCCAUUUCCUCCUGGCUACUUGACAAAAGGAGGACAACAAACUUCUCUCUGCUGACUAGGAAUACAGUAAACAUUCAUGAUUUCAAGUAUGGUGAUAAGAGCGUAUUGCACCACAGUGCCAUCUCAUAGCAGUUUGUUCAGCUGAGCAUUCACUGGGCCAGCACAUCACCACUGUCAGCAUGCAAAUAAGCUCUCCCAUGCAGCUGAGAAUGAAGGCCAGAAGCCUGAAAAUAACCCAGCAAAGCAUGCCUGUUGUAAGGAAUGAGAGGUACUUGCCAACUUUUAAUCACUGGGCUUAGUGACUGGCAUGACAACAUUUUUCUGAUGGGGAAAUUAUUUACAGGCAGUUGGAAGGUCAGGAGGCUGUCUGAAACACUCAAUGGCAAAAUUAGAGUUAGCCUUUCAGUCAACCAUGUUGCUCAGGUACCUGCUUGGUGUUCCAGUGUUAACGUGCAGUACAUUCGAAGUGCAGCCACCUUCACUGUAUGUUUCAGUGUACAAAAUUACCUUCUAAUUAAGAAAUAAGUGCAGUGGUGGGGAGGAUUCCACUUUGAGUCUCAGCUUGGCUGUGAGACUCAGUGCAAGCCGUGUAGUGGGCUGUUAGAGUGGCUUGCUUGAUUCUGUUUCUUGUGUCAAACGUUUGUCAGUGGUGAUGAUGAAUAGUAGGGAAAAAUACUGAAUAAGCCCUAAGUGAUUAAUUAGAAUAUUAGUUUAGUAUUUCUGCUGCCAGACAGUCAUGCAGUCCCUGGCAUUACUGCAUAAGGUUUAAAAUGUUGAGAGAGGAAGAGGAAUUUCAAAUAUGUUUAUUCUUAUCCAGAUAAUCUCUGAAUUUAAACUCAAUAAAGCUUUUCACCAGAGUGAGAUGUUAACUAGCCAAUACUUUAUUCACACUUCAGUUAAACAACGUUUACCUCUGGUGAAAGGCACCCAAACUGUGCUACUCUGUGCUACCCUGUUUCUGUGGAAACUGUGUGUUGGAGUGGAAUAGGAAUAAUGGUGGAGAAAAGGAGAGCAGUAGCGUUUUGGCUGAAGUCCUGUUGGCCAGCCCCCGUUUCAGCUGGGAUAAGUCAGCCAAGCAAGGCCUCAGUGCUGGAGCCCCGACAGUUCUUUUUCCUCCUCCUCCUAACUUGUGCCGAGGGAGGAGUCUGCUUCACAGACACCAUUCAAAAAGUGCUUGCUAAAGCAAUUUAUCUGUAUUUUCCCCUGGUUUUUCAUGCAACAAGAAUUUUAGCCAGUCAGUAAUGUUAGUCAAUAGCUGCCUACACUGGUAGGGUAAGGUUUGUUCUGAAAAGAACUUCCAUUGACGCGUAUGUUGCUCAGCCACUGCUCUUCUAAAAAGCACCACUGUAUUCUUGGAAAGAAACUCUCCCAAAACUGAAAAGACACAUUUUUCAUCAUUCAGGGGUUUCCAAAAUAUGCAUAUGUUUGAUGGAUUGCCAGGAAAGACAGACAGCCUUGACCAGUAAACUCAGCUCUGUAUUCUCUCUUCUCUGGUAGCUGUUUCACUGACAUUCAUGUUGUUUUCUCCUGGAAUAAGGUAUCUUUCUUAAAAAUAAAAUAUGAAUUAACAGAAAA